rnacentral:rRNA from 1 species
AUCGCCUAUUGUUAAAAUAAUAGGUAUCGCCUGCCCACUGAGUAAUUGAAGGGCCGCGGUAUUUUGACCGUGCAAAGGUAGCAUAAUCAUUAGUCUUUUAAUUGAAGGCUAGUAUGAAUGGCGGGACGAAGUAUUUACUGUCUCUUUUAUAAUGAAGUAGAAUUUAAUUUCUUAGUCAAAAAGCUGAGAUGAUAUUGGAGGACGAGAAGACCCUAUAGAGCUUGACAUAAGAUUUUUAAUUUUGAUUUAAUUUAAAAUUUUAAUUUUAUUGUGUUUAGUUGGGGUGACUGAAAGAUAAAAAUAACUCUUUUUAUUUUUUAUCACGAAUGAGUGUUUAUUUGAUCCGUUAUUGACGAUUAAAAGAUUAAGUUACCUUAGGGAUAACAGCGUAAUUCUUUUUGAGAGUUCUCAUCGACAAGAGAGUUUGCGACCUCGAUGUUGGACUAAGAUAAAUCUUGGGUGCAAAAGUUCAAGUUUUGGGUCUGUUCGACCAUUAAAUUCUUACAU